AGCGAACGCUGGCGGCAGGCUUAACACAUGCAAGUCGAGCGCCCCGCAAGGGGAGCGGCAGACGGGUGAGUAACACGUGGGAACGUGCCUUUUGGUUCGGAACAACCCAGGGAAACUUGGGCUAAUACCGGAUAAGCCCUUACGGGGAAAGAUUUAUCGCCAAAAGAUCGGCCCGCGUCUGAUUAGCUAGUUGGUGGGGUAAUGGCCCACCAAGGCUACGAUGCGUAGCUGGUCUGAGAGGAUGAUCAGCCACAUUGGGACUGAGACACGGCCCAAACUCCUACGGGAGGCAGCAGUGGGGAAUAUUGGACAAUGGGGGCAACCCUGAUCCAGCCAUGCCGCGUGAGUGAUGAAGGCCUUAGGGUUGUAAAGCUCUUUUAGCAGGGAAGAUAAUGACGGUACCUGCAGAAAAAGCCCCGGCUAAUUUCGUGCCAGCCGCCGCCGUAA
rnacentral:rRNA from 1 species